UCGCCACAUCCAUCAGAUUGGAUGACUGGAGAAUGUAAUCACAACGAAUGGCUUAGAUCUAAGGAGAACACAUGUGCUAAGUCACCCAUGUCACACUUUGUUUAGUCAGCAGGUUAAAAUAAACAACCAACCGGAGCAUGACAUGUGGAUUAUCACUUAUUAAUAUGAAUUUAUAAAAUACCAAAUUGAGGGAGAACUGUCAUGAAGAACACAUGAAGACCAUCGUAUUCUUCCUCUAGUUCCGUGAAAAUGAGUCAUCACAUCUCAAAGCUUCAUGGCGCAUUUAGAACAGCAACGCACUCGACUUAGAUCAUAUAUGCUUUCUCCAAGAUUAGAUUUCACUAAUUCCACCUAAUCAUGGAGAGAUUCAACUCAAACGGGAAGAACACCAAAACCUAAUUCUAAAAUUAAAUGAUGAUGAUAGAGCAAGAAACAUUCAAACCAUGGGGGAAAUGUUCAGUGCAUCAAGACGCUUCCAGUGGUAUCACAUUUUGCGCAAAUAGAUCAAGAUUUCUACCUUGCUGGAGUUAGAUUAGAUGCAGGUUCCGACGUGAAUGAAGAGCUCAAGUGAUCUGAAAGUGGUUUUAUGAGGCUACAUGAACGCUCUGUCUCAGAGAAGUGUUAUGGUAUGAUUUCUGCAGAAUUUUGCUGGCUGAGAGCUUCUUCUCAAUGAAGUAGAGUGAUUCUCAAUUUAUAGGGGAUCCCAGGGUGAAUGAUACGUGCCAAUUGAGGCCAAACUCGUGUGAAGCAAAUGGGAAACGUAACUAAUUUUUGGAGGGGAUUGUUAAGCUGGAAACAUGGAAUUUGGGUGCACAUCCAUCCCAAAAUUCGUGGAAAUCAUUGAGCAAUGAUGUGGCAAUCAUUUGGCUUCUAGAAGGUCUCUCAAUUUUGUAUUUUCUGCAUUUGCCUUGUUGUUUUCCACGCCAUUUGCACAUGGUUUUCACUUGUAUUGGGCCUGUUAUUCAUGUCUCUUGGCACCUAUUUUGAUACUUGAACCUACAACUUACAUUUGAUGGUUUGGCAUGGUAAUUCAAUGGCUUGCCCGAGCUUGUAUUUCCAUGUUAACGGUGCUGCAAUAACUUUGUUUCAUGGAAACCUUUUCCUUUCUUGGCUUAUGGAUUGGAUGAUGAUGUUGUUGUUGUAAGGGCGACCGUGUAUUCUCCAUGGAGGGAGUUUGAAUGAAGUAGACAAGAUGGAAGCAUGAAAGAGGGAACAUGGAAGAUCAUGAGGUUGCCAAGACUUUCUCUUUGAAACCAAUCCAAUCCGUUAGGCAUUAAUGUAUGUGGCAUGUCAUGUAACAUGUGAAUGCACAUGGUGAAUGUUUACACAAAUAGAAGAACCUACUUAUGCUUAUAAUAGAAACCUUAAUUGUGAUGAUAUGUAAACAUGUUUAAUAAAAUGGGGAUAAAUCUGAUUAUGAUUGUUAGUUCAA